rnacentral:lncRNA from 1 species
CAGUAGUACCAGUAGCAGUACCAGGGCCAAGUAUCCAACAGUCAGUAUCCAUGGCCUUAAGUAUGGAAAACUUGUGAAUGACGACUGCUAAACACAUUCACACACCACAGUGGAUGAUAAUUAACCUCGUGUGUGUGUGUGUAGUUUCCAGGACAGCUGAUGGAGCAGAUAGCUGAGCUCAAGCACAGACGGAGUCAUCUGAAGGAGCUGACCGAGGUGAAACAAUUGCUGGAGCUCGCUGACAAGGAGUUGUCAGAGCUGCGGACGGAGCAAAUCAAAAGCUGAAAAGCCUACAGGAAGAAAAUGAGAAGAACCAGACCUGCCUACGCGAUAUCUUCACAAACCUGGAAACACUUGGGGUUGAUAUUUGUUUUCCAAUAUUUCUGAUAAUUACUGAUACACUUAUCAGUAAUGCUGUUCCAUGCUGUGGCUGAGUCUGUUUGUUCCAUCAGCGUUGGAUUGAACAGGUUGAGUUAGAGCAGCAGCGAAAGGAUGAGAUCAUUCAUCAGGUAGGAACACAGGGAGUGACCUAACUAUGACUCCUUAGUAAUUACAACUCAUCUUAACAUUCACAUUGAAAUAUUUGCCUUUGUUUGUGAUAGAAAACUUUGCAGUUAAAUCAUUUUGAGAUCGCCAUUGGAAAGUACACCAACAUCAUUGAGGAUUACCGAUGGAUGAACCAGGAGCUGAAGAGGCUGUUAAAGGAAGUAUUGGAGAGGACCCCUAUUGCAGCUCUUAAAGAGCCAGAAGCUGAGAAUGAAGGAGUGCUCAGUAACCCUCUGGUCAUUGCUCAGGAAACUCAGCUGCAGGAAAAAGAGGCUGCUCUGAUACAGGAAAAUCAGAAGCUCACUGCAGAGCUGAAAAGCCUCCAGGAAGAAAAUGAGAAGAACCAGACCAACAUAAGCAAACUCAAUGCUGAACUACAAACAUCUGAGGUUAACAUUUGUUUUCCAUUAUUUCUGAUAAUUACUGAUACUGUAACUGUCAUGCUGU